UACGGAAGGCAGCAGUGGGGAAUAAUUGCACAAUGGGCGCAAGCCUGAUACAGCCAUGCCGCGUGUAUGAAGAAGGCCUUCGGGUUGUAAAGUACUUUCAGUCGUGAGGAAGGUGUUAAGGUUAAUAACCUUAGCAAUUGACGUUAGCGACAGAAGAAGCACCGGCUAACUCCGUGCCAGCAGCCGCGGUAAUACGGAGGGUGCGAGCGUUAAUCGGAAUUACUGGGCGUAAAGGGCACGCAGGCGGUUAAUUAAGUUGGAUGUGAAAUCCCCCGGGCUUAACCUGGGAAUGGCAUUCAAGACUGGUUAGCUAGAGUCUUGUAGAGGGGGUAGAAUUCCAUGUGUAGCGGUGAAAUGCGUAGAGAUGUGGAGGAAUACCGGUGGCGAAGGCGGGCCCCCUGGACAAAGACUGACGCUCAUGUGCGAAAGCGUGGGGAGCGAAACAGGGAUUAGAUACC
rnacentral:rRNA from 1 species